AAAUAGACAAUGGCACAGUGGCCAGGCAAGAAGACACUAGGUCCAGAAUCUGAGGUUCAAAUCCUGGCUCUGUGAGACAACAACAUGCCUUGGUUUCCUCAUGCUACUGAAACACCAGGGGUUGGGGCUAGGUCCCAUUGCUUGCUGCACAGAAAGCCAACCACUGAGACAAUGAACAUUGCCAGGGAAGAAGGCUUUAUUUGGCUGCUGCAGCCAAGGAGGUGGGAGAUCAGUCUUAAAUUCAUCUCUCCAGCCAACUCAAAUUGGAUGGUUUAUAUAGCUUGGAAGGGAAGUAACUACCUGCAGGGAAAACAGCAAUUAAGGAGGGCUAAGGAAGCAAUCAUGAUAAAUGAGGAGUCUGGUGUCUCAUUGUCUGAUGGUGAUGUGGUGAGUUUCAGUCUCUUGCCUGAAGGUCCGUUUCCUAACUCAGAUGACUGACAAAUGUUAAGUUUCAAGUUUUAAGACCAGAUGGGUCAAUUUCUAUGUUUAUUCAAAAACCCUGUAAAUAUCAGUUCUAUGUGGAACUUGAGCUGGUUUGCCCCCAGUUAUCACAGUUAGGGUUAAAUGAUGCAAUAUAAGUAAAACACCAGCAGUUUCUGACACACACACAGAGUGCAUGACACAAGUGGUGUGUUGGGACAAUAUAGCUCAGUGAACUCCCUUUGUCUACUCAGUUAUAUUGAGUGAUGAGGCAUCUCUGAAGAUGCCACUUUGCUACUUCUCCCCUGAUAAUUUCACCAGAUCCAGCCAUAUGAGCACUGCAAGUGCUUAAAUCAUUCCUCAUAUUUCCCAUGCAGGUAAAUCAUUUGGCACCAAAACAGGCACAGAAGUCCAAGUCCUGCUGCCAGCUCCACGACUGAUGGCACAGAGAGACUUCAGGAUUAGUCCUUUAAUCUCUGUCCUCUAUUAAAUGAAGGUCAUCAUGCUGCUGCCUAAUGUAAAAGGAUUGUGGGGAUUUUCAUCAUUCAUUAAUGAUUAUCUUAUUCUUUGAAAC
rnacentral:lncRNA from 1 species